rnacentral:misc_RNA from 1 species
GAAAAAUCCUGCUAGAAACAAAGUCAGUGAGUUGCAACAGCCAAUAAAUACUUUGAUCCCCGGACGGCCUCCUGCCCCUAUGAUGUGGAAAAAUCGAUAUGCACCCAAUGAGGUGCCCCGGAAAAACGAAUCUGAUUCUGAGGGACUUUUUCCAAAGAAGAACGGUGGAUCUAGUGGGUAUAAUAUAUCAUCAAUCGCAUCUACCAGCUC